ensembl:lncRNA
AAAUUAAUGUGUUUAAAUUUUGGCCCAUAAAUAUCAUAAUAAAAAGCCAAGAUCUUGCCAACAGAUCUUUUAUCAGUAUGACUUUUUGACCAUCCCAAGGAACUUACAGUUGCCUGAAGAAAACACCUCUCAUGGGGUUGCUUGCUUCUGCACAAGAAAAUAUUGGAAGUAGCAUGGUAAUAUUUAAGAAUAUUAAAAAUAUAGUAAGUAAUUUUCAAAAAACUAUAAAACUAAGUUAGAUGUGCUUUUAAUAUUUGUUAUUGUUUACAUUAAGAAAAUAGCCUUUCUUGUGCCUUUUUCUAAGUUCAUUCAGUGACUUUUUUUUUUUUUGUGGUACCGGGGAUUGAACUCAGGGCCUUGCGCUUGCAAGGCAGGCGGCGGCACCACUGAGCUAAAUCCCUGCUCCCUCGGUGACUUUUUAAAGUAAAGAUGUUAAGAAGAAAACUUCUAAACUAUUGUCUAUCAGGAUCUUAUUUAUCAUUAUCUUAAAAAACAGUAAAGUAUUGUAGUAUUUCCCCUAAUCCCUGCCAAAAUAGACGGAAAUCUAGAAUAAUAGAUGGCUGAGCAGGACGUCCUAGGUGAAGAUAGGUCCAUUUCCGUUUGUGUGACCUCUCUUUUUCUAGCAUUCUACGUCAUCAUACGACUCUUUCCAUCUCCAUUUUUCUGCAACUGAUACCUGGUCACAGCCAUGAGGUCAGACCACCUUAAGAACAUGAAAAGGAUUUUGAAAAUCUUCUAGUUGAACCACUUAAUACAGUUUAUUUAUUUUUCUAUAAAAUCACUGAUACUCUGCCCCCGCCUUAAGAUUUUUAAUUACAGUGAGCACUGGUAUUUGAGAGCUAGUCCUUUACAUGAUGUGUGUCAAACUUGUAUCAAGAAAGCUUCCUCAAGCCAGGCGUGGUGGCACAUGCCUGCAGUCCCAGCUGCUUGGGAGACUGACACUGAAGAAUCUGUUAAACCCCAGAGACUGAGGCCAGCUUGGGCAGCAUCAGCAAGACCUUCAUCUCCGAUAAAAGAAAGAAGAAAUUCUUCCUUCUGCUUAGCUGUAGUCUGCCCCUCUACAGUUUUAGUUCAUGGUUCUAGGUCUCUUUUAAAAGCCAUGCAAAUGAGUAUUUGUAUUCCACGUCAGUAUACCAUGACUCAGGUAUUUUGGCAGACCCUACCCUUCGAGGCCUAUGGUCUCUUUAGACAUUCUCGGCUUCCUACAGCUUUCCCAAAUACCUUAUCGUCCAUGUUUUCUGCGAGUAGACUGCAGUAUUCACUCACCUACUGUCCCGAGUCACGACAUCCAGAACUGGUUGCAGCAGUUUGACCUGAGGGGCUCAGAUCCCUGUAGUGCAGACUGCACCAGGAUGUCCUGCCUCCUGGCUGUAGAUGCCAUGGGUCUAGUAAUGUGACAGCGUACAGCGAGGUUUUCAGUUAGGGAAGACACCAUCUCCAGAUUCACAGAUCACCCUUGCUGCCUCCCUGUCCACUCCGUGUCUCGGACACCCACGUAGGUCCAAGUCCUUACCCCUGUUAACGUUCAAUUUGCUAGUUUUACCCUACUCUUCUUAGUGGUUAUUCCACUAUUCCUUGUGUUAAGGACUAGUACUGUUUCACAGGUUGGUCUUGAAGUUUGAGUGGAAUGACUUACACUGUUGUUUGUUCUUUGUUUGAACAAUUACCGUGUGUCAAGUUAUAGGGAUAAAGCAUAGUAUAACUGACAGUAUCUGAUGAGUGCUGUAUGGUCCCCGACCUUAGCUAACUUGUAUUCUUGUUCUUUUUUUGGAGUGUAUUCUUGUUCUUAAUGCAGUGUUUUCUGCUUUUGUUAAACAAACUGAGGUAUAGUUAGCAGUUCACUGUGCUCAGACACCUUAUUUAUCACAGGAAAUACUUGAUAAACAGUAAUAAAGGUAGCAGUUCUUCCCAUCUGGAGCCUUGGUGAGGUGCAGUGGGGAGCCCCUGUUUCUUGGGGCCUUGCCCUGAGGAAAGUAUUGAAGGGAUUUCUAACGGCUUCCAGGCCUCCACCUCUUAAGCCCGGGCACUGCCAGGUGAGGUUGGGCCUUUCCUUAAAUUAGGUCCAGGAAAUGAAGUAAACUUUGUUUAACCUGCUACUGAAGUGUGCUCAGUUUUCAAACAAGCCCAGUGUUGAGAUUUCCCUGACUUCCAGCUUCCUGUUUUUCCCAUGUCUCCAUAUUGUAUCUAUCACCUUUCCAUCUUUCUCAGUACUUCUUAGGAAUAUUGAAUAUAUUUACUAUGGAUGGGUUGCUACACUGAUUUUCCAUAAACAGUCUGCAUCAGGGUUUAGUUUUUAAUAAAGAGGGAAAGAGCCUGAAGGUUUCUUCAGAAUGCGUCUCUGGACAGCGUCUGGGUAACCUUUGGUUGGACUGUGCUUUAGAUUUUUCCAACACUUGAGCAUGUACCUGAGUCAGACUCAGACUCCCAGUGUUUCUAAAGCCUGCACGUACACGUCAAACUCAGGUGUUUAUUCGGCAUUUACUGUGUGUCAGGCAGUGUGUUGGUUUCCUUCAUCCUCUAUUUCAUAUUAAAUUCUUCUCAGUAGUGAACUUUGCCGGGUGUGGUGGUGCAUGCCUGUGAUCCCAGCCCUCAGGAGGCUGAGAAAGGAGGAUCACUGUGAGUUUGAGACCAGCCUGGGCGGCACAGUGAGACCCUGUCUCAGAGACAAGGUGCACGUGAAGCACUGUGGUGUGGCACUCCCUCUGUGAUGCUGCAGGUGUGGCGUCUGGAGAGGCUGAGAGCUGCACACAGGGCUGCGAUAGCAUAUGUGGGGCUCAGCAGAUAAUCAACUUCUUUGUGAGGACAUGACAGUACCAGCAUGGAGGGGGUGUUUGGUUUAGGAAGAGGGGAAAAUCUCCGACUAUCCUUUAUGUUGCGUUGGCUUGAUUUAGUGUAUUUAUGAAGACAUUUAAAUGACGUUUUUUUUUUUUUGAGACAGGAUCUUGCUACGUUGUCCUGAGGGUCUCAAUUUAUGAUUUUCCUGUCUCAGCCUCCCUUGGUGCUGGUAUUACAGGCAUGUGCUAACAUCCCAACUUAAAUGCCAUUUCUUUAGGGAAAAAUAAAACAGCGUUCAGAUUUGUAAGAAUUCUUGUGUCUAGAUAUCAGAAUAAUUUCUUCCUGUCUCACCUACAUGAUUUCCUCAAAUUCUAUAAUUUUUUUUUCUGGGUUGGGGGAAGAAGAAAGAAGUCAAUAUGUAAUUAUUAAGGGCAAUAAAGUCGUGUUAGAAACUGCAGUUCUAUUUUGUAUUCUUCUAGCCUAACUCUAUAAUCUUAUAUAUGAUUUUAUACUGAAACAUAAACAUGUUAUUUUCAUGUUCCCAUUAGGGGUUUUGAUGAAACUUUAAUUGUUUGUAAAGCACAUUGAGAUCUAUGGAUGGGCACCAUAUAAGUUCUAAAUAUGAUUAAUAAUCACUGGGAGGAAACAGACCAUUUUUCUCAAUUUCACAGUAAUUAAAAAGUGACUAUUAUAGGUGGAAAAAGUAUGAAGGAAUAUCAUAAGUAUGAAGUAUGAAGGAAUACCAUAAGUUCAAUACCAGUAUUAAACUUAGCAUGGAAAGCCUUUACAUUAAAUAGCAUCCUGAGCUGUGUCAUCUCCAUCUUUUGGAGCAUUGUUACUAAGGAUUUAAAAUCUGGACAUUGACACAGGGCAUAAAGUUGUUACAUAGUUUUAGCUGGAUGUUGUUAAUGCUGUUCGCCAAAUCCACAUGUUACGGAUAACCAAAUUAGGGCUACUUGCAGCUAAGGUGAUUUAUUCUUACAUAAAAUUUCCAGCAGGAGGUUCUCCCAAGUCUUGAGUCUAGUUUUAUUUCUCGAGCAGUGUUUGGCUUAUUAUACCAGGUAAGAUUGCACCUCAGUGUACCAGAUAGUGUGGGUACUGACCCUUCAGUGUCUCAGUCCUGAGUCUGAUGUGGGGGUGCCGCAGAGCCCAGCGGGAAGACAACAGUGGCUGCAGAUGGGUGAGUUUCUUUCUUCAUCUCGCAGGUCCCCUGAUUAGGUUAGUUUCCUGCUUGAGAGUUUGACACAUUUUUCCAGAGAGAGACAGGCAGUGGGAAACUGUCACAUACAAGUUCGGACGCCAUCAGCCUGGACUUACUUUGGCUUUAGCUUGGACAAGACUUUUUGGGACAUGGGUGUGUUGGGACCUGGACUGGGUGGGAAAUGUGGAACUUGAUUGUGCAGUCCUUGAGUUGCCAUCUACUUUUCUUAUUGUGAUAAAAUGCUGGAUUAAAAUUUUCCAGUUUAACCAUUUAAGUGUACAGUUCAGUGGCGCUUAACUGCUUCCUCUUGUUACACAGUCAUUGCCAUCACCCAUCUCCAGAACCUUCUCAUCUCCUCCACCUCAAACUCCGUGCCCCCACGUUCUACCUCUCCAGCCUCCCCCUGCCCCGCACCUGGCAACCACCGUUCUACUUCCCGUCUCUCAGCAUUUGACUGUGCUGGGUCCUGGAUCAGAGUUGCUCACAGUGGCUGUUCUUGUGAUACUGGCCUAGUCCCUCAGCCUGAGGUGUUCAGAGUUAUCCAGAACCUCACGGCUGCAUUACGUGUUGUGUGUAUGCUUAUAGAUGCGUCUCCCACCUUUCACGGACACACUCAUCUGUUGAUGGUAUUUAGGUUGCUUCGACAUUUUGAUGCC